rnacentral:lncRNA from 1 species
GUCACUAACACGAAAGAUUAUUCUUUGCUCUUCCACUGGUGUUUGAGGCAACGGUGUAUAAACUGCAACAAUAAUGUGAUUUACAUCACUCCUUUGGUCGCUAGUUGUGAUCUUUUGAGGAAUACUAAUUUGUCAAGAAUCCGUCUGAUCUCAGAGGCCAACCUAAUUUUUAUAAGCCAGGCGAUCGCGAAAGAUUAUUAAAAGCCAUGGCCUGCUCAUUUUCAAGCCACAAUCGCGAAGCUUGAGAAAGUUAUCUGAAUUGCUCGGUCAUGGCAAAUAAAUCUCUGACCAAUGCCUUAGUACGUGUUCUUGGAGCUUGUAUGUGUCAUAUCGGUAGAAUAAUCCUGCCUUGAGUUAUUCCAUGCCAUCCUUCGACCUAACCGCUCCCUGGACUUCCAAUACCAUUGAUAGUGCUAAGAUUUGUAUUGAUCAUCCGUCUCUAUUUGCAUGCUUUUGAAGUGAAUUUUAGCUAGUUUAUGCUUCAAUUCUAUGUGAUUUUGUGCCUUGGCAUUAUAUACCUAGACCCGUUCACUUGGACCUCCCGGAUUCAAGUAUAGUUGAGCCUCUGCCUCCUCCCCCAUGUUAAAUACACGUAACCCUUACGCCCCAUCACUGCAUUUCCCAACAUCCUGAAACUCUUGAACCAAGGUGCCUUAGACUUGCCCUGUCAAUCAACAGGUAUGCGAUCUGACGUGGUCAUGCCAAGAAGCGCAACCAUCUCAACCUACAAAUCAAUGGACAUGAGCCAACACUUAAUGAGGCAUGCGACGAGCCAAUAGACGCACAAAUCGGUCUCCGGGUCCCUGAAGGAUGGCCCCAAGACGGAUGAAAUCCGAGCUCCACAUGAGGAAACUGCAGCUCAUCACCUGAAGGAUGCCCAGAAUGAUACAGAUCCGGGAACAACACGUCCAUCCGUCGACCUAUCAACAAGUUGCUCGCCUCUUCUUGACAUCCGCUACCAACUAUAUAUGAUCAAAAACCAUAAUUUAACUUGGAAUAUAUAUAAUAACUACUAUCACCAUUUUUUAUAAUUUCUAAUUAAUUAAUUACAGUUAACUACUUUAACUAAUUAUUAUAA